CUCUGGUGGAUUGCAAUCAUACCAGAUCUCCCUUUUUUCUAUAUUAUAUACCUGACUUUUGAACUCGUGUUUUCCUGAACCUUCAUGGAAUAUUUGGCACUGGGCGUUAAAAAAAAUAUCUUUAUUUUUUCAGGGGUGGAGUGGGGGACAGGAUGAUUUUGAAUAUGAAUAAGGUCUGGUAAGAGCUGAAAAAAUGGCAAACUUAGCGACAGAUUGAAAUGAAUGAUGAAUCAGUAAAACAAAUCCUCCUGCCCCUCCCCUCCCCAGAAUAUCAAAUAGUCGUCCU
rnacentral:lncRNA from 1 species